rnacentral:rRNA from 1 species
GCUCAGGACGAACGCUGGCGGCGUGCCUAAUACAUGCAAGUCGAGCGGACCGACGGGAGCUUGCUCCCUUAGGUCAGCGGCGGACGGGUGAGUAACACGUGGGUAACCUGCCUGUAAGACUGGGAUAACUCCGGGAAACCGGGGCUAAUACCGGAUGCUUGAUUGAACCGCAUGGUUCAAUCAUAAAAGGUGGCUUUUAGCUACCACUUGCAGAUGGACCCGCGGCGCAUUAGCUAGUUGGUGAGGUAACGGCUCACCAAGGCGACGAUGCGUAGCCGACCUGAGAGGGUGAUCGGCCACACUGGGACUGAGACACGGCCCAGACUCCUACGGGAGGCAGCAGUAGGGAAUCUUCCGCAAUGGACGAAAGUCUGACGGAGCAACGCCGCGUGAGUGAUGAAGGUUUUCGGAUCGUAAAACUCUGUUGUUAGGGAAGAACAAGUACCGUUCGAAUAGGGCGGUACCUUGACGGUACCUAACCAGAAAGCCACGGCUAACUACGUGCCAGCAGCCGCGGUAAUACGUAGGUGGCAAGCGUUGUCCGGAAUUAUUGGGCGUAAAGCGCGCGCAGGCGGUUUCUUAAGUCUGAUGUGAAAGCCCCCGGCUCAACCGGGGAGGGUCAUUGGAAACUGGGGAACUUGAGUGCAGAAGAGGAGAGUGGAAUUCCACGUGUAGCGGUGAAAUGCGUAGAGAUGUGGAGGAACACCAGUGGCGAAGGCGACUCUCUGGUCUGUAACUGACGCUGAGGCGCGAAAGCGUGGGGAGCGAACAGGAUUAGAUACCCUGGUAGUCCACGCCGUAAACGAUGAGUGCUAAGUGUUAGAGGGUUUCCGCCCUUUAGUGCUGCAGCAAACGCAUUAAGCACUCCGCCUGGGGAGUACGGUCGCAAGACUGAAACUCAAAGGAAUUGACGGGGGCCCGCACAAGCGGUGGAGCAUGUGGUUUAAUUCGAAGCAACGCGAAGAACCUUACCAGGUCUUGACAUCCUCUGACAACCCUAGAGAUAGGGCUUCCCCUUCGGGGGCAGAGUGACAGGUGGUGCAUGGUUGUCGUCAGCUCGUGUCGUGAGAUGUUGGGUUAAGUCCCGCAACGAGCGCAACCCUUGAUCUUAGUUGCCAGCAUUCAGUUGGGCACUCUAAGGUGACUGCCGGUGACAAACCGGAGGAAGGUGGGGAUGACGUCAAAUCAUCAUGCCCCUUAUGACCUGGGCUACACACGUGCUACAAUGGGCAGAACAAAGGGCAGCGAAGCCGCGAGGCUAAGCCAAUCCCACAAAUCUGUUCUCAGUUCGGAUCGCAGUCUGCAACUCGACUGCGUGAAGCUGGAAUCGCUAGUAAUCGCGGAUCAGCAUGCCGCGG